ACCAGAAUGGUCUAGAUGGUUAAGACACUGCCCUAACACGGCGGAGAGCGUCGGUCCGAAUCCGACUUCCGGUC
rnacentral:tRNA from 1 species